UACGUAGGGCGCAAGCGUUGUCCGGAAUUAUUGGGCGUAAAGAGCUCGUAGGUGGCUUGUCACGUCGGGUGGGAAAGCUUGGGGCUUAACUCCAGGUCUGCAUUCGAUACGGGCUGGCUAGAGGUAGGUAGGGGAGAACGGAAUUCCUGGUGUAGCGGUGAAAUGCGCAGAUAUCAGGAGGAACACCGGUGGCGAAGGCGGUUCUCUGGGCCUUACCUGACGCUGAGGAGCGAAAGCGUGGGGAGCGAACAGG
rnacentral:rRNA from 1 species